ensembl:lncRNA
UUUAUGUUCCUAAAAUUGUAAAGAUUUGUUUUGGCUCAAAAUGUGAAAAUUUUCCCUAAAAAGGCGCUCGGGAAAAUCGGAGAUUCCCCAAAAAUCCUCCACAGUUAAAAUAAUUCCUAAAAAUUAUUCCAGACAUGCAAAUUUUGGGGAUCCCCAAAUUUUGGACGCCCCAAAUCCGCCCCCGUCACUUCGGUGCUGCCACGCCCCAAAUUCGGCGGAUUUUGCCCCAAAUUCGGCGGAUUUUGCCCCAAAUUGGGGCGUUACCUGCCUCAAGCCCCGCCCCCUCAGGUGUUGCUCCUCCCUCCAGGUGCGCCGCCUCCGUCCGGCCCCGCCCAGCCCCGCCCCCAGCCGCAGGGGCAGCCACGCCCACAAAUGGGAGGAGCUUCGCCCCGCCCCGCCCAGCCCGGCCCCGCCCAACCGCGAGGCCCCGCCCAGCCCCGCCCCCAAACCCCGCCCAGCCACGCCCAGCCACGCCCACAAACCCCGCCCAGCCCCGCCCAGCCCCGCCCACAAACCCCGCCCGGCUCCCAACAGCCACACCCACAGGCCACGCCCACCUCACAGCCACGCCCACCCAGCCCUCAGCCACGCCCACAAGCCCCGCCCACCUCCUCUCAGCCACGCCCACAGACCUCGCCCACGGCCACACCCCGCCCUCAAGCCCCGCCCACCGCCCAGCCACGCCCACCAGGCCCGGCCACGCCCCACCAGCCACGCCCGCAAGCCCCGCCCACUUUGCAGCCACGCCCACAAUCCCCGCCCACCUCUGCCCCUCAGCCACGCCCACAAGGUGCGACAUCACCCCAGCCACGCCCACAAGCCCCGCCCACCUCUGCCCCUCAGCCACGCCCACAAGGUGUGACAUCACCCCAGCCCCGCCCGCAAGCCCCGCCCACCUCCCCCCAGCCCCGCCCCCCUGGCCCACAAGCCCCGCCCACCUCCCCCCAGCCCCGCCUCCAGCGUUCGCCCUCCGUGCCCCAGCCCCGCCCACAAGCCCCGCCCACCUCCCCUCAGCCCCGCCCCCCUGGCCCACAAGCCCCGCCCACCACCCGCCAGCCCCGCCCCCAGGCCCCGCCCAUCGCCCCCAAACCGCCGCUGGCCCCCAAACCGGGCGGGGCCCCUCCCCCCCCCAGGUAAGUGGGAGGGGCUUAAGGGGGGGGAGGGGCGAGGCCCCGCCCCCCCCGGGCCCCCCUGAACCCCCAAAUUCCGCAGCCCCGCCCCCGAGCAGGGCCCCCCCGAGAGCCUCCGGGCGCUGCGGCAGAGCUUCGCCAGCCUCUUCGAGUGACCCCCAAAAAUACCCGCGGGGACCCGAAAAAUACCCGGGGGGAUCCCAGAAAUACCCACGGGACCCCAAAAAUACCCACGGGACCCCAAAAAUACCCGGGGGGACCCCAGAAAUACCCGGGGGGACCCCAAAAAUACAGGGGGCAUCCCAAAAAUACCCACGGGGACCCCAGAAAUACCCGGGGGGAAACAAAAAAUAUCCGGGGCACCUAAAAAAUACCUUCGGGACCAAAAAUCCACCCUGGGGUCCCCAAAAUCACCCCAGGACCCCCCAAAAUCCACCCUGUGGUCCCCAAAAUCACCCUGGGGUCCCCAAAAUCCACCCUGGGGCCCCAAAAUCUACCCUGGGGUCCCCAAAAUCCCCCCAGGACCCCCCAAAAUCCACCCUGGGGUUCCCAAAAUCCACCUGGGGUCCCCAAAAUCCACCCUGGGGUCCCCAAAAUCACCCCAGGACCCCCCAAAAUCCACCCUGGGGUCCCCAAAAUCUCCCCAGGACCCCCCAAAAUCCACCCUGGGGUCCCCAAAAUCCACCCUGGGGUGCCCAAAAUCCACCCUGGGGUCCCCAAAAUCCACCCUGGGGUCCCCAAAAUCUCCCCAGGAAUCCCCAAAAUCACCCCAGGACCCCCCAAAAUCCCCCCAGGGAUCCCCAAAAUCCACCCUGGGGUCCCCAAAAUCCACCCCAGGGGUCCCCAAAAUCACCCCAGGACCCCCAAAAUCCACCCUGGGGUCCCCAAAAUCCACCCUGGGGUCCCCAAAAUCACCCCAGGACCCCCCAAAAUCCACCCUGGGGUUCCCAAAAUCACCCCAGGACCCCCCAAAAUCCCCCCAGGAAUCCCCAAAAUCCCCCCGGGGAGCCCCAAAAUCCCCCCGGGGAUCCCCAAAAUCCACCCUGGGGUCCCCAAAAUCCACCCUGGGGUCCCCAAAAUCAUCCCAGGACCCCCAAAAUCCCCCCGGGGAUCCCCUCCCCCCCUCGUUCUGUGCUUGCCAAACCCCUUUCUCUCCCCCCCCCACCCCCCAAAUUUUGGGGGGGGUCUCUCCGCCUGCGCUCGUGA